CCUACGGGAGGCUGCAGUGAGGAAUUUUGGUCAAUUUUCUUAAGCCUGCCCCCUCCCCUUCUCUUUCCUUCUUCCUUCCCUCCUUUUUUUCCCCUUCUUUUUUCCUGGAAUAACGCGCCUUACGUGUAGGGCUUUGCAUGUACCGUAUGAAUCAGGAACGGCUAAUUCCGUGCCAGCAGCCGCCGUAAUACGGAAGGUCCGGGCGUUAUCCGGAUUUAUUGGGUUUAAAGGGAGCGUAGGCCGCAUGUCAAGCGUGCUGUGAAAUGUCCGGGCUCAACCCGGGCCGUGCAGCGCGAACUGGCGUGCUUGAGUCCGCGGAAAGCAGGCGGAAUUCGUCGUGUAGCGGUGAAAUGCUUAGAUAUGACGAAGAACCCCGAUUGCGAAGGCAGCUUGCUGCAGCGGAACUGACGCUGAUGCUCGAAAGCGCGGGUAUCGAACAGGAUUAGAUACCCUUGUAGUC
rnacentral:rRNA from 1 species